AAUCAACGCUGGCGGCGUGCCUAACACAUGCAAGUCGGACGUGAAAGGGGUUUCGGCCCUGAGUAGCGUGGCGGACGGGUGAGGAACGCGUGGGUGACCUGCCCUGCAGAGGGGGAUAACCCUCCGAAAGGGGGGCUAAUACCGCAUGAGCCCGAGAGGGGAAAGACGGUGAGUCGCUGCGGGAGGGGCCUGCGUCCGAUUAGCUGGUUGGUGGGGUAAGAGCCCACCAAGGCGACGAUCGGUAGCCGGUCUGAGAGGACGGACGGCCACACUGGGACUGAGAUACGGCCCAGACUCUUACGGGAGGCAGCAGUGGGGAAUUUUGGGCAAUGGGCGAAAGCCUGACCCAGCAACGCCGCGUGGAGGAAGAAGGCCUUCGGUUGUAACUCCUGUCCGAGGGACGAAGUAGGUGACGGUACCUUGGGAGGAAGCCCGGCGUAACUCCGUG
rnacentral:rRNA from 1 species